GUUUCACCAUGUUGGUCUGGCUGGUCUCGAACUUCUGACAUCGUGAUCCACCCACCUUGGCCUCCCAAAGUACUGGGAUUACAGGCAUGAGCCACUGUGCCUGGCCUUAAUUCUUUAAUGUGUUCGUUAUCAGAAUUGUUUUAAAGUCUUGUUUGAUAAUUCCAAUAUCUGGGCCAACUCUGGACUGGUGUAUUGAUUGUUUCCUCUUUUUAUAAUGAGUCAUUUCUUCUUGCUUUUUUAUGUUGCUUAGUAUUUUUUUAUGUAAUGCCAAAUGUGUGUAAAGAGAAUGGAGCCUAUGUUAAAUAAUGUUUAUGUUCACAAAAACACAUGCCUCUUCUUUUGUCGUGGCAUUAGUAUACUUGCAUUGGGUAUGGCGUUUGCCUUUUAUUCCAUACUUGAACUAGAUCUGAUUCUUUUAAAAUUUAUAUUAAGUUCACUAUAGGACCCAGUGUAUUUUGAGAGCAAGAUUAGGAUCGUUGGUUUUGUAUGGUUUGUAGUUUCUGCUUAAUUCUCCUGAUACACCUUCAGAAUUCUACAUGCCUUGUUCACUUGUGCCUUUGCAGGGGUCUCUCUUAGAGCUGCUUUCUUUCUCCCAGACACAGCUUGCCCUUCCUGGUACUCAGUUUAAGGUUUAGAGUACUCAUGAGAUUUCUUUUUAUUCUACUUUGCACUCAGACUUUAUUUGUAUCUAUGGGCCUGUACUUCAGUGGGAGCCUUUCUCAUCUUUCCAGCCCUGCUUCUCUUGUCAUUUUCAUGAGCAAUUGAUGGACACCUGUGGAAAAUAGAUGGCAAGUGGAUGGGAUCCUCUUGUGUCUAGAGUUCUCAGUGAUUCUAAACUAUCAUGCAUCCCCCACUGGGUCUUUUAAUAUUUGUUAAAAGUACAGUUUUUUUCUUCUUAUCAACUUUCUUCUCAUACUACUCUGCCAAGAAUGAAAGCCACUAUUCAUUUUUUUCUCUUUCCUAUAAGAGACCUUUCACUUUUACAGGUUUUGUUCAUUGGAUUCCUUUAGGAACUCUGCUCUGAUGACUGUCAAAAAGCUUUGAUAGAUUACAUGUUUCAUUCUUGUUGCUACAAUGGGAUAGAAUUCUCUUGCAGUUUUGUACAUCUUAUGAGAAGAGGAACAUACACACACAGGUACAAAUCUUAUGAUUUAUUUAUACUAAAUUUGAUAAUUCCCCUAGAUAAAGUUGCCAGUAGUUCAUCUCUGCUCUGUCAUUACUUAAUCUCUGACUCCUCUCUUGCCUGUAUUCCUUACCCUUGUUUUUGAAGUAGUGAUUCUUCCUUUCUUUUAUUUUUGUUGGUUCCUUAACUGUUUAGCCAAAAUUAUCAAAAUAAUUCUUAAAAAUUAGAGUAGCAAGUAAUUUCUUAGGAGCUAUCCAAAUCUACACAUUUCUUUAGUAUAGAUGCUGAAUAGAAAAAUGAGUUUUAACAACUUAAAUUAGAUGUAAAUUAAUAUUUUUUUCUCAUUCAUUAGGUUAGGAAAAAACAGGAUACUUUUUCCUAAUAUAGCUUGAUAUUUUAUAGGACAGUCUCAUUGACUGCAAGCUUCCAUAGCUGUCAAGAAGCAUGUAUGUUUAAUUCUAAUACUGUGUAACUUUGGUCUCUCUUAUUUCAACUCUCAUUCUUCAGUGUAGGAUGUAACUGCAAAUGACAGUGGCACCCUGAUUUAACUAAUAGGUGAAGCCUGAGGGGAAUGUGGAUAAAUGAGCCAUUUGGGCAGUGAGGAGAGCAGUAAACUGCACUUUUCUCAUUAGUUAUCUCCCAGGCUAAAAUUAAACAGAAUAAAAUGUUGCCAAAUUUUAGUGAUCUAUGGUGGGUCUUGUCUGUGUCAAUUAAGUAUCAAACUAAUUGCCCAGACAUAUAUGGUAGAACUUGUGUGCUGUUUUUAAAGGUUGGUAUCUUGUAAAUUGAGUAUAUGAUGAAAAUAGCUCUCUAAAUGUGAAUGAACAUUAUCUCUAAAUUGUAAUUUCAACCAAAUUGGUAUUAAAUUAGUGGAUUACCCUCUUUUAUCAUCUAUAAUAUUCAUAAAUUUUAAGGUUGGCUGUAAGUCAUUAGGUCAUUUUUGGUAUAGUGUAAUUAUAUAGCUUACAUAGUUUGGUGAAGUUUUUUUAACUUCUUAAUUAUAGUAAAAUAAGAUCUUCAAGUUUAAUUUUCCAUUUGAAAAUAUUUACUAUUUUUUUUCAUUUCUCUGAAAUCUCAAAUGGUGUGCCAAUCAUAUAUUGAGAAUGUUUUUGAAAAUUCAUUGAACAGAGUUGUAGACACAUCUGAAAAGGUUUUUAUAAUAAUUUGUACAAUAUGGAGAAUAGCCGUAAUUUCUUAACAUACUUGUAUCUUGUCCAGUUUGCAUAUAUAUAAAUUUAUAUGUCAUUUUGUUUACCAUGUUUUUAUGAUAAUUAAAAAAUUCAUAGUAUAUAACAUGGCCUGUACUUAGAUGCAUAAUCUAAAAGAACAUAAUCCUGAGUUAUUUAAUAAACCAACUCAGUAUCUUCUUUCUUUACUAUUUUUUUUCAAUAUAACAUUAGGUACAUAUAAAAGUAUGUAACAAAUAUGUAAGUAUUGAAUUAAAAUUAUAUAAUGAAUAUCAUUUACUGUUGGCUGAGAAGUUGGUCAUCAAUUUAUUUGCCUUUAUAAAUUCUUUCCUCAAGUGAUCUAUCUUUUUGUUUUGAGAGAACUUUCCUGAUCUUCUCUUUAUCUUCACUUGUUUACAACUUUUUUUUCUCUUAGUGUAGAUAUAUUUUAAUUAUCCAGUUUGGAGUAUAUAGGGCCGCCUAGAUUUAAGGUUUAUUAUCUUUCAACAUUUCUGUAAAAUACUCAGCCAUUACCUUUUUUUUAAAACUAUUUUGCCUUUUGCCAUUUUCUAGUAUAUCUUCGGAGUCCAGUAAGAUGUAUGCUAGGUCUUCUCACUCAGACAUCUCUAUCUCUAACUUCAUUUUAAAAGUUUCAUUAUUUUUCAAUCUGGGGUUGCAUUCUAAAUUAUCUUGUUAUAUAUCUUCUAUUUCCUUAAUUCUCUCUUCAACUGCAUAUGGUUUAAAAAAAAAAUAAGUAAUGGCUGAGUAUUUUACAGAAAUGUUGAAAGAUAAAAAACCUUAAAUCUAGGAGGCCAAUAUACCCCAAACUGGAUAAUUAAAAUAAAUCUACACUAAGAAAAAAAAAAAUUGUAAA